GACGAACCGUGCAAACGUUAUUCGGAAUCACUGGGCUUAAAGGGCGCGUAGGUGGUUGAUCAAGUCUGGGGUGAAAUCUUUCGGCUUAACCGGAAAAGUGCCUUGGAUACUGAUCAGCUGGAGGGAGGUAGGGGCAGUUGGAACUUCCAGUGGAGCGGUGAAAUGCGUUGAUAUUGGAAGGAACGCCGGUGGCGAAAGCGAACUGCUGGACCUUUUCUGACACUGAGGCGCGAAAGCUAGGGGAGCAAACGGG
rnacentral:rRNA from 1 species